rnacentral:rRNA from 1 species
CAUUAAGGUCUCGUUGGUGACCAGCGGAGGGAUCAUUACAGAGUUGCAAAACUCCCUAAACCAUUGUGAACGUUACCUAAACCGUUGCUUCGGCGGGCGGCGCCGGGGUUUACCCCCCGGGCGCCCCUGGGCCCCACCGCGGGCGCCCGCCGGAGGUCACCAAACUCUUGAUAAUUUAUGGCCUCUCUGAGUCUUCUGUACUGAAUAAGUCAAAACUUUCAACAACGGAUCUCUUGGUUCUGGCAUCGAUGAAGAACGCAGCGAAAUGCGAUAAGUAAUGUGAAUUGCAGAAUUCAGUGAAUCAUCGAAUCUUUGAACGCACAUUGCGCCCGCCAGUAUUCUGGCGGGCAUGCCUGUUCGAGCGUCAUUUCAACCAUCAAGCCCCGGGCUUGUGUUGGGGACCUGCGGCUGCCGCAGGCCCUGAAAAGCAGUGGCGGGCUCGCUGUCACACCGAGCGUAGUAGCAUACAUCUCGCUCUGGGCGUGCUGCGGGUUCCGGCCGUUAAACCACCUUUUAACCCAAGGUUGACCUCGGAUCAGGUAGGAAGACCCGCUGAACUUAAGCAUAUCAAAGACCGGAAGGAA